CCCAACACUAAAUCAUCUGCAUUCAGCAAGGCUAAAAGUCUCGAUCGCCAACUGCGAAGUUGAAACGUUUUAACCGGAAAAUAACUCCCUACUCGAAUAUGUUUCAUGCAUAUUCUAUUUUUCCCAUUAUUCUGUAUCAUUUUCGUUCAUUCUAAGUAUAAUUGUGAGCUCUGAAAGUGUACCGUUAUUUUGCUUUGCUUUUUUCUUUGAAGUGCGACAAAAAUGCAUACAGCCGAUUAGCACAUUUUCGCUUUCAUGUGACUUUUUUCGUGUAAGCUGCCGUGAUUGGGUUUAUUAUUUAUUUAUUGGGACUAAUUAUCAAUAAAAUAAAGUAGUAAUGGGCAAAGGAAAACCGUUGGACAAGUCUGAAAUCUGCAAAAUAAAGGCUUACAGGGAGUGCGGGCUGUCUAUUCUUCAAAUAUUAAAAAAUAAUAAUAAUAAAUAAUAAUAAUAAAGCGCAGUCGUAAAGUUA